GAUGAACGCUGGCGGCGUGCCUAAUACAUGCAAGUCGAGCGAACAGACGAGGAGCUUGCCCCUUUGACGUUAGCGGCGGACGGGUGAGUAACACGUGGGUAACCUACCUAUAAGACUGGGAUCACUUCGGGAAACCGGAGCUAAUACCGGAUAAUAUUUCGAACCGCAUGGUUCGAUAGUGAAAGAUGGCUUUGCUAUCACUUAUAGAUGGACCUGCGCCGUAUUAGCUAGUUGGUAAGGUAACGGCUUACCAAGGCAACGAUACGUAGCCGACCUGAGAGGGUGAUCAGCCACACUGGAACUGAGACACGGUCCAGACUCCUACGGGAGGCAGCAGUAGGGAAUCUUCCGCAAUGGGCGAAAGCCUGACGGAGCAACGCCGCGUGAGUGAUGAAGGUCUUCGGAUCGUAAAACGCUGUUAUUAGGGAAGAACAGACGUGUAAGUAACUGGGGAGGUCAUGACGGUACCUAAUCAGAAAGCCACGGCUAACUACGUG
rnacentral:rRNA from 1 species